GAAGGGGCGGAGGGACGGGCGCUGCGCACCGCAGCCGCGGGAGGGAGAGGAAGAAAAACCCUGGGAAGACCCGGGCGAGGGGGGUCUUUCACCCGCACCGGCACUGGCAGCGGUGAAGUAAGUUCAGACAACUCAGAAAGAGCAAGUCUCAUAGAUCCUCAUCGUUAGACGACACUCCUCAGAAAGGGGGGAUGACUGUUGGGGGGGUCCCUGCAUCCCGCUGCCGGCCCGCCGAGGACUGAUGGAGAGGACCCACGUGUACCUAGGCUCCCUCAGGACCUCCACCACCGACCAGUCUGCACCACCAGACCUGGAUGAUCAGCUUUUGCUGGGGGAAAGUCUCACCAGUUGUGUUGGUACAAUUGUCCUGGGGGGUCUCGCUCUGUAACCCACCCCUUAGGGACCCUCCGGGCAGCCCCUGGGCACACAGCAGUCCUGGGAGUGCCCGCCCCGCUCACCGACCAUGUAGAUGGAGCAGCAGCUGGAAGCACACAGGCAUUUGCCUGCUGGGCUUCAAAAUCCAGCCCAUUUCCACCUCCUGCGAUGCCCCAGCAUGAGGAGGAGCGGGUUGGAUCUGCAGCCCCGCCACCCCAGGGGUCUGCUCCCCCCAGGAAAGGGCUGGGUCAGGUGGGAGGCAUCCCCUUAACUUGGAUCUCCUUCAAAUUUCUCAUAAGGGUGUUUUAGCCACUGUGAACUAAGACAACUUCACUUCUGAAUGAGAGUGCCCACGGGUGUAAUACGCUUUAAUUAAUAUGCUUUAGCUUCCCUGUUUUAGAUCAUUAACCCUCCUUUGAUUGAGUGCCCCCUUGCCAUCCCAAUGUUUCAUCUCCUUUCUCUUGGGGAUCUUAUACAAAGAAUAAAAGGAUGCUGGUUGUUUUACA